UCCUGUGUGAGAAAGAAACGCCAUCCAUCCAAAAAGGGCACACCAACCGAUCGGAGCAAAUGCAUUAUAUGUCGCAGCAUGAGUUGGAUUAUAAAUAUAAUCAAUGGCUCCCAUUGGCGCAGGGCCUAUAAAAGCCGCGAGGCAUAAUAAACUACUGACGGUCCAGCCUAUGUAGGAGAGUUUCUGAAAGAGGCACCAAAGAAGAUGGCCAUACAUUUGUGCGCAAGAACCAACAUCAAAGCGUUUAAUGCUCGAACACCAUGAAGAGAUCCAAUAUCGCCUUCCUGUCUUUCCAAUGAGAAAAGUUUCAACAAAUUUCGUUUUAGCGAAAAAGCAUGGAUUACAUCAUUAGUCGGAAUGUCAUAGUGAUCACAAAUUCCUGCCACAACUGAAAAAGCAACGAUUCCAAGGAAGAAGAGGCUGAGGAAAAAACAUCUGCAAAUACACCAAAGACAGAUAGAAGUCGAAGUUAAAGUACUUCAGAGUUAAGCAGAAACAAGUUCUUUUAUUGCAAACUAUUGCAGAUUUUUAUUUUUGAUAGCUAAAAUCAUUAUAUUUUAAACUCUUUUAAAAGAAAUUCUGUUUAAGGCCUAGGACCUUCAGGGUUUUUAAUUUUAGAAAUUAAAAAAAGACUUAUGGUAUUUACCUAACGAUUAUUGUUUCCCUUGGCAAUGGCUUCGUUCGUUGAACUUGGCACAUCUCUCGAUCGACUUUAACUGAAAUCUUAAUGCCAGUUUGCGGCGAAUACUUUGCAAUUGUGUGCCGUAAAGAUGAUUCCACAUCGUGAUGAGAACACGCUGCUGGCGUACAUAUUGCCCAGUUUAUUGUACUAUACCGAGGAACU